rnacentral:rRNA from 1 species
GACGAACGCUGGCGGCGUGCUUAACACAUGCAAGUCGAACGGUAAGGCCCCUUUGGGGUUGCUCGGUUGGCAAACGGGGCGGUAACGCGUGAAUAACCUGCGCUUCCUUUCCGCUUAUCUUCGGGAACCUCGGGCUAGUACGGCAUAGAAAUCCUUUCUGCGUGGUGUGGGUUGGAAGGCUUCGGCGGUUUUGGGUGGACUCGUGGCAUGUCAGCGUGUUGUUUGGGUAGUGGCGUACCGUGGCUGUGACGGGUAGCGGGGCUGAGAGGGCGACCGGACACAGUGGGACUGAGAUACGGACCAGACUCCUGCGGGAGGCAGCAGUGGGGAAUAAUGCACAAUGGGCGGAAGCCUGAUGCAGCAACGCCGCGUGGGGGAGGACGGCCCUCGGGUUGUAAACCGCUUUCAGCAGGGGCGAAGCGUGUGGUGACGGUACCUGCAGAAGAAGCACCGGCUAACUACGUG